ACCCAGCAACUUGGCGCAAACGGAUCUCGGAAUCUAGGCCUAACGAGUAAUACGCGGAAAGGUAACCUGGACACUACGUGACGACCCCCUUUGUGUUAGCUGCUUGUGAAGUUUAUGUGCGAUACUAUGUGGAUAGAGGCAUGCUACUUAGCUAAAUAAAACGGUUCAUGAAAACUUGCGUAGUAUCUAGCUAAAAUAUGCAACAGUAAUGUGUAAUAGCGAUACGUAAAACAAUGAUGUAUCAUAUUGUUUAAUUAAUGUUUAAUAGAGUAUCUUUAUAACAAUGACU